rnacentral:other from 2 species
CUUAAGCUGCUGCGUUGGUGACUGCCAAUCAUAGUUUGAUGAUCUAUGCUUGUGGUAAAAGGGAACUAGCGAUUUUGCGUGGCAGUAGACCGAGCUUGUACUCGGAAACGGAAGCGCAAAAGGUAAGUGCCCACCUGGUUCUGCCAGGUCACAAACUGAGGUAAAACGGCGCGGCGGUUGCUUU